ACACUGGUAGUUCAGUAGUAAAAUUCUUGCCUGUGAUACAGGAGACCCGGGUUCAAUUCCCAGCCAGUGCA
rnacentral:tRNA from 1 species